UGAAUAUAAGUUUGUUACAUUGAAAAAAUCUAAGCUUUAUAAGCAGCUUUUCGAAAAUAAUAAGUCGGCAGUAGCAUGAAAGUAUUUGGUGAAUCUAUCUAUAUAAAAAUAUCGUGUCACGGUGUUUGUGGUCGCACUCCUCCGAAACGGCUCGACCGAUUUUUAUGAAAUUUUUUAUGUAUAUUUGGUAAUGAGAAUAGGUCGUAAAGUAUAUUUUAUACCGCAAGGUGAUUAGGAUGUCCUUAUCCAGAAAAAUUUUUUGUAUAUUUUUGACAAACAUUUUUUUGUUGUAUUUUUUUUUAUUUGGCAUCAGAAAAUACUUAUAACUUCAAAUUUUCACAAUGCUACCCCCACUUUUCCAUUUCAUAAUACGCGAUAAUCUUAUACGCGAUUUUAGUAUUUUUUUAUGAGCAAUAUCCAAAUAAUUUAAUCGUCGUUUGUAUUUCAAGCAGAACGAAAUUAUUUAUGUUGUUGAAUGAUAGAUGGCGCUACGUCCGCCUCAUCGAACUUUUAUCCACGCAUGCGUCACGCACGCACGUCAUUUUGACAUUUCAAUCAUGAAAUGUCAAUUUUGAUUUAUCAGAAAUAUAUGUAUACGCGUAUUAUGAUUGUAAAAAGGUUGGUAAAAUACUAAAAGAACAAUUACAUUAUCGGUAUACCGUUUUUCAUCAGUAAGUAAAACAAUUUUGUCUAUUUGUUUGUGUAUGUUUUACAGUGAACAAUGCCAGCAAGACGCAAGGGGACCCAUUUGGGCUGUCGAACGAAUAAAGCAACAAACAUGAGCAAUAGUAGAGUAGAAAGAACAGACGAACAAAUCCAACAAGAUAACAAAAUGUGCAUGUGAGCAUGUCGCAAUUGCGUGCAUCUCAAUCACAAGAGGCACGAGCUGAACGAAAUCAGCAACGACAAUUGGAACGGAGACAAGCGCGCCGGUUCGUAGUUAACACACGCUGAGUAAAUGACCGACAACGCCAACAAGUACAUCGAGUAUUUACAUCCGCUUCGUUCCUUUGUCUCGCAUUCGAGUACGAGCCAGAUAUUGAAUAUUCCACUCAUCCGAAUGUGCUGAUUGGUGCUAUGGGCAAAGAAUGGCCCCAUUGUCAUGCGCUCAAAUUUAAACAUGAGUCAGCCGGGAUGUGUUGCGCUUCAGGAAAAGUGUAACUACCAGAAAUUAAGACACCACCAGAACCAUUGAACGGCUUGCUCAUCGGCACAGAUCCAGAUUCAAACCUGUUCCUGAAGUCCAUUCACACAUUCAAUUCAUGCUUCCAAAUGACUUCGUUCGGAGCAACAGAAAUAGUUCACAAUACUGCAGCAAAUGGUCAAUAAUACAAUUCAACAUUCAAAAUCAAAGGCCAAGUGUACCAUAAAGUAGGCUCAUUGCUGUCAAUGCCAAACGAACCACAUAAAUUUUUACAAAUCUACUUCAUGGGAGGUGAGGACAUCAAUCGUUUGGAUGCACGUUGCGGCUACAAUAACCUCAAUUUGCCUAAUGCCAGGCACAUCGUCGGCGAACUGGACGCCCUGUUGAAUGAGCACAAUGAAUUAUUGAAAUUCUUCAAAUCAUACAUGCACGAAUUGCAAAGUGACAAUCAAGCUAUUGUCAUCAAUCGUGAUAAAACAGCAGCUGGAGAGCACGUGCGUAGAUUCAAUGCGCCUGUUGUUGACGACGUUGCUGGAAUCAUGGUUGGCGACCGCACAUCGACGCGAGAAUUCGAAGAAGAAACAAUAAUCUGGAGUUCAUCUCCGACACACACCGUUCAUACCACGCUCUCCAAUAUCUGCUAAUUUUCUGGAAGGGUCAAGACGGAUACUGCAUAAACAUUAAACAACGAGAUCCCGACACAGGAGCCGAAACAAACAAGAAAGUGAGCUCGAUGGAUUUUUAUGCGUAUCGUAUGAUAAUUCGACGCGGUCAGGACAACGUCAUUCUGUGAUGUCGUGAGCUGUGCCAACAAUUCAUAAUCGACAUGUACGCGAAGAUAGAGAGCGAAUGACUGCGAAUGACGACACAAUCAACAGAAGCUACGUGCGGAAGAAUACAUUCACUUGCGAGACGCUAUCAUGAGCGACGCCGAUACCGCCGAAAUUGGUAACUCUAUCAUUCUACCAUUAUCGUACGUAGGCAGUUCACGUCAUAUGCAAGAAUACAUACAGGAUGCUAUGACUUUCGUGCGCGAGUACGGACGACCGUGUUUAUUUAUCACGUUUACAUGUAAUCCAAAGUGGCAGGAGAUUACAUCUUUGCUAUUGCCAGGCCAAAAUGCAAUACAUCGUGAUGACAUAUAGCACGUGUAUUCAAACAAAAAUUGAAGUCUUUAAUGAGCUUCAAAAUUCAGCUUACAAAAUUACACGUAUUCGAUCCCACACGUUGCUCGAUGUAUUCGGUUGAAUGGCAAAAGCGAGGAUUACCUCAUGCACACAUUUUGAUUUGGUUAGUCGACAAAAUACGCCCUGAGGAAAUCGAUAGUGUAAUAUCCGCGGAAAUUCCAGAUCCGUCUACUGAUCAAUUACUGUUCGAUAUUGUUACCACAAACAUGAUUCAUGGCCCAUGCGGUGAUCUGAAUCGUUGAUCCCCUUGCAUGGCAGAUGGAAAAUGUACAAAGCGUUUUCUUAAAGAUUUCACCAACGACACGAUCACAAAUGUCGACGUUUAUCCAAUAUAUCGUCGUAGAAAUACUGAUAAUGGCGGACAAUCAUUUACGCUAAAUAUCAACAACGCAGACAUUGACAUUGAUAAUCGUUGGGUGGUACCAUAUUCGCCUCUGCUGAGCAAAACAUACAAUGCUCAUAUUAAUGUUGAGUUCUGCAGUUCGGUGAAGAGCAUCAAAUACAUUUGCAAGUAUGUGAAUAAAGGCAGCGAUAUGGCUGUGUUUCAAAUUCAAAAUACCGAUGUGAAUGCUCCUCGAUUAAAUGACAACGACGAAAUAAUGCGCUACCAAAUGGGCCGGUACAUCAGCUCCAAUGAAGCUGUCUGGCGUAUUUUUGGUUUCCAAAUUCAUGAACGGGACCCAGCAGUUAUACAUUUAGCCGUCUUAGCAAUGAAUAUAUCCGUUACGUUAAUGAAAUACAUUGAAUUGAGAAAAUGAA